CCAAUAAUGCCUUGGACACUUGAAGUAAAUGUAAUGCCAUGUAUAUUCUCUCAAGUGCAAAAAUGGUGCUUCUAAAAAGGCUCUGUCUCCUCUUCUUCCUCGUAGUUAUCUCCGCAUCACUUCUGUCAACUGCAUACACAGAUGCAGGUCAAGGACUGCCCAAGUAUGUAGACUUUGAGAAGAAGAAGUCUGUUGAGGCACAUACAAAUGAUCAGACAAGAAUCAGCAUCCAUAAGAGGCUUCUUAGAGUUAAGACAAAUGAUUACGGAAGCUAUGAUCCUGCGCCAACAUUUCACAAGCCCAAAUUCAAGCAAAUUCCAAACUGAUCUUCGCAACAGCACAAAUUCCAAAUCAUCUUCGCUUGAGCACAAUAAAGUAAUGAAUCGCUCGUAAAUAAUUUUCAAUUUCCAUGCAGUGUAUAUGUAAGUAAACAUGCUAUCUCGACGUUGCAAUCGUGGAUUUAUAUGCAAUACAUAAUUUUCAUAUAGGUUUAAGUUU